AAGCUUUGUAAACAGAAGAGAACUAUGUCCAUAGUAAUUAUUCUUAACUUCUCCAGCCUUUGGUUUCAAUCUGACGUGAAGAGAGUUGAAUGAAGGGAUCUUCAGAGCGUUACCAGAAAGAGAACCGGUUCCAAACUCAGGUUCAGCUGCUCACCACUCGCAGAACAACACUUGAGAGAUAAGUGAUGGUAGGAAAGGACAGGUUGCUUUGUUCAGGAAGCCAGCAACCUGGGAAAAUGGUGGACUAACAUCUCCAGGACCAUCUUCCCUGUCCAGGUGCAUUCGGACCAUGAACUCAAAGGCAGGGACCAUGGUUCAUUCAUCUCUGCAUCACAGAGCCUAGCCUGGAAUACGAUAUUGGAGGAGGUCAGCAAGAGGACGUGACUGCAGGUUGACCCGUGAGCUGGACCCGGCAGUCGGAGGCUCCUCACCUCCAAUCCUGUCCUUGGAAUAUACACUCCGCUGGCCUUCCCCACUUCCAGAGGCUUCCCCAAGGACACGGCCUUGAGAUAGGUAGUGAUGAGAAGACCCGCAUGGUGUACAUGACUGAGCCCAGGCCAAUUUCAGAUUUCACCUGGGAAGUUGACGGGGUUGUGAACUAACUGUUGAGCCAGCCAGGACGCUAAAGAAAUGGGCCUUGGGAGAGAGGCAUUCUACAGAACAAUCCUGAGUUGACCAUCAAUUUCUGCGUGCGGGGCAUGGGGUCCCGUGGAUUAGAGGCUUGUGGACCACACGACACCUUGCAGGUGAUACACUUACAAGGGAGAGAAUAGACAGUGAACCUACAGAAAAUUCAAGGCCCAGGCACUACCAUAAAGUCUUGGGAGUCAUUUGGUCAGGAUCUCAGGAGACAAGUAUUUAGCAUGUCUGUAUGAAGGAAAUGUACCACUCAUGACAGGGAUCCCAGGAGACAAGUAUUUAGCAUGUCUGUAUGAAGGAAAUGUACCACUCAUGACAGGAGAAGCCCAGUGAAGACCAAGCAGUAAUUUCAAAUCCCAGCUCAAUGAAACUAUUAUUGUGUCUCUGGAUGGAAACAUGCCUCCCUCUUGCUCACUGAAACUCCUAAACCAGUGGAGCCCAGAUUCAGGAAAAAGUAGCACCAGGAAUAAGUUAGGUGUGAGUUUGGCUGCUCAUAUCCCUCCCUGAGAAGUAACCCCCCUGCCCCGCCUCCAAUUUAAAGAAGGUAAGAUGUAUCAUCAUCCAAUCCGGUGAUUCUCAACUGAGGGCAAUUUUGCCCCUUAG